rnacentral:rRNA from 1 species
CCUACGGGGGGCAGCAGUGGGGAAUAUUGGACAAUGGGGGCAACCCUGAUCCAGCCAUGCCGCGUGUGUGAAGAAGGCCCUCGGGUUGUAAAGCACUUUCAGUGAGGAAGAACGCCUGGUGGUUAAUACCCAUCAGGAAAGACAUCACUCACAGAAGAAGCACCGGCUAACUCCGUGCCAGCAGCCGCGGUAAUACGGAGGGUGCGAGCGUUAAUCGGAAUUACUGGGCGUAAAGCGCGCGUAGGUGGCUUGAUAAGCCGGUUGUGAAAGCCCCGGGCUCAACCUGGGAACGGCAUCCGGAACUGUCAAGCUAGAGUGCAGGAGAGGAAGGUAGAAUUCCCGGUGUAGCGGUGAAAUGCGUAGAGAUCGGGAGGAAUACCAGUGGCGAAGGCGGCCUUCUGGACUGACGCUGACACUGAGGUGCGAAAGCGUGGGUAGCAAACAGGAUUAGAUACCCUUGUAGUC